rnacentral:snoRNA from 14 species
GCGCUGCCUGUGAGCCCUGGCGCACCUUCUCCUGGUGCUGGGGGUCAGGCUGGGGAGCUGGCGCAUAACGGGCAGUCUGCCCAUCAUGG